ACAAUUUGGCCUACAUAUUUUUCAUAAUUACCAGAUUACCCUUAGUUAUAAAUAGUUGAAAUUAUUUUUAAAAAAUUAUGAGACACAUGUCAUAUUAUAAUUGGUCCUACUCAUUUAUUUAUAUAAAAUUAAUAUUAAAAUUAUAAAAUAAUUAAAAAAAACAAAUUAAAAUAUAUAAAAUUAGUUUAAUUGACAUAAAAAAAUUAAACUGAAAAAAUAUUUCCAGAUCUCGUUCUUCUCUUUCUCCUCCCCCCUGCGGUUUCUUCUUCUUCUUCUUCUUCUUCUUUGAAUUGUGGUUGAAGCCAGAGCUGGGUUGAGGGCUUGUCGAAGACGGAACGGGAGCUAGGUCGAGAGGCCAGGGAUAGGGAAAAUCGUGGUCUGAACUGGCACCAAUCUCUUCUUCUUCUACCUUUCACUUUCUCUUCUGCUACUGUAGGUGAUUGGUGCUGGAAACGGGUGCGUCUGGGAGGCUCUGAGAUGAUUGUAGGCUUUUGGCUUCUAACUUCAGCGCAUGAGAACAACCAAUCCAUACCGAAGGUGGAGGAAUUACGACAUAGCUUUGAGGAGCUGGUUGAAGGCGACACUGGACGUAUGGUACUUCAUUUCUGUGCGAUGUGGCGACUGAGCUGGGCUGUGGUGAUGGAGGGUAAGAGCAACAAUAGAUCUAAUCCGGGGAGGUGCAGUUUAGCCGACAAUAGUGGGGGGAGCUUGAACUGGAUUUGAUUAUUUUUUAUAAAUUAUACAAAUAUGAAUCUAAGACCUGUUUUCUUUUCUAAUUUUCUUUUUGGGGUUGUGAUUUUGAUUUUUUAUAAUUUUGAAAUAGGUUGGGGUCUUGAUUUUGUUAUUGUUUGUGAUUUUGGUUUUGGGAUUUAAUUUGGGGUGUUGAUUUUAUUAUGGAUUAUUCUUGAGUGUU